AACGAACGCUGGCGGCAGGCUUAACACAUGCAAGUCGAACGCACCUUUCGGGGUGAGUGGCAGACGGGUGCGUAACGCGUGGGAAUCUACCCUUCUCUACGGGAUAGCUCCGGGAAACUGGAAUUAAUACCGUAUACGUCCUGAGGGAGAAAGAUUUAUCGGGGAAGGAUGAGCCCGCGUUGGAUUAGCUAGUUGGUGGGGUAAAGGCCUACCAAGGCGACGAUCCAUAGCUGGUCUAAGAGGAUGAUCAGCCACAUUGGGACUGAGACACGGCCCAAACUCCUACGGGAGGCAGCAGUGGGGAAUAUUGGACAAUGGGCGCAAGCCUGAUCCAGCCAUGCCGCGUGAGUGAUGAAGGCCCUAGGGUUGUAAAGCUCUUUCAGUGGGGACGAUAAUGACGGUACCCACAGAAGAAGCCCCGGCUAACUUCGUG
rnacentral:rRNA from 1 species